rnacentral:rRNA from 1 species
AACGAACGCUGGCGGCGUGCCUAACACAUGCAAGUCGAACGGAAUUAGAGAGCUUGCUCUUUGAUUUAGUGGCGCACGGGUGAGUAACGCGUAGAUAAUCUGCCUGACGAUCUGGGAUAACACUUCGAAAGAGGUGCUAAUACCGGAUAAGCCCACGGGUUCUUUGGAAUCUGCGGGAAAAGGGGGGGACCUUCGGGCCUUCUGUCGUCAGAUGAGUCUGCGUACCAUUAGCUAGUUGGUAGGGUAAAGGCCUACCAAGGCGACGAUGGUUAGCUGGUCUAGGAGGAUGAUAAGCCACACUGGACCUGAAACACGGUCCAGACUCCUACGGGAGGCAGCAGUGGGGAAUUUUGCGCAAUGGGCGAAAGCCUGACGCAGCAACGCCGCGUGAGUGAUGAAGGCUUUCGGGUCGUAAAGCUCUGUCAAUGGGAAAGAAGUGUAUUUUGGCUAAUAUCCUUAAUACUUGACGGUACCCAUAAAGGAAGCACCGGCUAACUCCGUGCCAGCCGCCGCCGUAAUAC